UAUAAGCGUACUAAAUGAGGCCUUGUGUCCAGUGAAGUUAGUACGGCCUGGCCGAGUUCUUUGAAUAAGGCCCACAGUGUUGUGCGGGAGGCGUUCCUAGGCGCUGCACUCGACCCGUUCGGGGUCCACUGUAACAAUCGCAUUCUCGCAGGAAGUCGCAGCCCAGAGCUGUGCAGAGGACAGCGACAGUUACGUAGAUCAUUAGUACCUGGGGACACGGCGCUAAUUUCAGACAACGCAAGAUCACCCGACAACAGUGGGGAAUGUUCACGGAUGACCGGCCCUAUUUGCCUUUUAUUGCCAUUUACUAGCAGGAGGCGAUUUCCUUGAUGGUGUAGCAUUUUGGAAAUAUGCUUUUGGAAGAUUUAUAACUCUGUAAAAUUGCAGUGCAUUCGGGCAUUUAGGCGGGCCGUAUUCU
rnacentral:lncRNA from 1 species